CUCGCCACUACUCUACACUUCUGGUCGCAACGUUUGUCUUUUGAAAGGCGUUUGUUGUCGGUGAUGGCGGUGUUGAGUACUAGAAUUCCCCGUGUGAAAGCCAGGAGGCAGCUUUGUCAGGUUGACGUGCGUUUUCCCAAGGAUCAGGACGCUGCGACUUGGACGAGUAUUCAACGUCUCCUGGUCUAAACGUUGCGCACACGCACACGACGCCUCGCCGAGCUACCUUUCCUAUGCAGCAGCAUCUUCCCUAGAGUUUGCCGGGCUUGGGCUUUAAUCAGGUGCGCUACGGCCUGAACGCCUUCUAAUGCGGAAGAAGCCUACCCAGGGGGCGUACGCCUCUCGCACUGCUACCUCGGCGAGCGCAACUGCCGCUUGCUUUCAGGCUGCAAACUGCCACGGGGUAACGAGGUUGCCUGCCCUCGUCGUGCCCUGCCUUUAUCGUAAGGAUAAUUCGAUAUCACUUCAGCAGCCAAGAACAAAAGGCGCUCAUAGGAACCGGUGGGAAGUCUCUCCAGGCACUACCCGGGUCGACGCGCGCCGACAUUCCCCACGAAAGCAGGGCGCACACACACGUACGCAGCACUGAAGCAGCUGGUUGUCUCGCUCUGGCGUUUGCAACGCUGUGAUGCUCGGUUUUGACGGGUAUCGCUCGACGGAGGCUGUGCAGCAGCCAACUGAACAUGCGCAUCGGGGCUCGUCGCUUGAAAUCAUGUCAAGGUAUGCAAAAGUUUAGUGGACAGCAAGAUCAGCGAGCAUUCCUUCGACCUCGAAAAUAUAUCUAACUUUCUGGAGACCCAUGAGAUUCAUGUCGCUCCCUGGUUUACGAAAACGGACCUCUACCACUGUGUCUACUUGACGACAACGUAUGCUCGCUUUCUUCGCGUUCAUGGCACGCCCCAAACGUUCCGAAUGCUUGGAGGUUCGCGGAGAACUCGGGCAUCACCCUGAUGAUGUCUGCGUCGGUGCCCGGCGCCAGUCGCGCCUUGUCGAGGACGCAGCGCUCCACGUGCAGGCCUGCACGCGGCUCCGCUGGAUCCAUAACGAGGAACGCAUCGAUUUCCGGACAGUAUUCCAGGACUAAGACAUAG